GGUAUUGAAAUAAGAUUUUAAAUGAGUGCUAAGAGAAUGAUUAAACAAUUAAAAACUUUCUUUAAUUAAAUAAUUAAAUUUAAUUUUUUUUGUGCAAAAGCAAAAAUAAAAUUUAGGGACAAGAAGACCCUAUGAAUUUUUAUUAUUAAUAUUUUGCAAUUAAAUUAUUAAUAAUUUAAUUGGGGCGAUAAAAAAAGAAUAAAUAUCUUUUUAAUUAUUAAAUAAGUUCCGUUUUUAGCGAUUAAAUGAAAAAAAUACUCUAGGGAUAACAGCGUAAUAAUUUUGGAUAGUUCAUAUAGAUAAAAUAGUUUGCGACCUCGAUGUUGGAUUAGGAUUCUUUUUUGGUGUAGAA
rnacentral:rRNA from 1 species